rnacentral:rRNA from 1 species
UACGUAGGGGGCAAGCGUUGUCCGGAUUUAUUGGGCGUAAAGAGCGUGUAGGCGGCUUGGUAGGUCUGCUGUGAAAACUCGGGGCUCAACCCCGAGACGUCGGUGGAAACCACCUGGCUAGAGUCCGGAAGAGGAGAGUGGAAUUCCUGGUGUAGCGGUGAAAUGCGCAGAUAUCAGGAAGAACACCUAUGGCGAAGGCAGCUCUCUGGGACGGUACUGACGCUGAGACGCGAAAGCGUGGGGAGCGAACAGG